rnacentral:rRNA from 1 species
UACGUAGGGUGCGAGCGUUGUCCGGAAUUAUUGGGCGUAAAGAGCUCGUAGGCGGUGUGUCACGUCGGCCGUGAAAACCUGCAGCUUAACUGUGGGCGUGCGGUCGAUACGGGCAUCACUGGAGUUCGGCAGGGGAGACUGGAAUUCCUGGUGUAGCGGUGAAAUGCGCAGAUAUCAGGAGGAACACCGGUGGCGAAGGCGGGGUCUCUGGGGCCGAUACUGACGCUGAGGAGCGAAAGCGUGGGGGAGCAAAACAGG